rnacentral:lncRNA from 1 species
UCCCUAAGUUAUUCUCAACUAUAUAGUCUAGCAUAUCAUAGUUAGUGCAAGCAUACUUAGCAAUCAUUGUGAGACAAGACUACGCCCAUGCAUAGUGAUAUUAGCAAGGAAUAUGAGAAACAUAGCAAUCACUCCCCUGUAAUAAUGUUGCUCUGCCAGCCCAAUACAUCAGAGGGGGACUAUAUAAGAAUCAAUGAAGCUGUCACUAUCACGAACCACCCC